rnacentral:rRNA from 1 species
AUUGAACGCUGGCGGCAUGCCUUACACAUGCAAGUCGAACGGUAACGGGCCUUCGGGUGCCGACGAGUGGCGAACGGGUGAGUAAUGUAUCGGAACGUACCUUUCAGUGGGGGAUAACGUAGCGAAAGUUACGCUAAUACCGCAUAUUCUGUGAGCAGGAAAGCAGGGGAUCGCAAGACCUUGCGCUGAUUGAGCGGCCGAUAUCAGAUUAGCUAGGUGGUGAGGUAAAGGCUCACCAAGGCGACGAUCUGUAGCGGGGCUGAGAGGAUGAUCCGCCACACUGGAACUGAGACACGGUCCAGACUCCUACGGGAGGCAGCAGUGGGGAAUUUUGGACAAUGGGGGCAACCCUGAUCCAGCCAUGCCGCGUGAGUGAAGAAGGCCUUCGGGUUGUAAAGCUCUUUCGGCCGGGAAGAAAUCGUAUCAGCUAAUACCUGGUGCGGAUGGCGGUACCGGAAUAAGAAGCACCGGCUAACUACGUGCCAGCCGCCGCGGUAAGAC